rnacentral:rRNA from 1 species
UACGUAGGGGGGCAAGCGUUGUCCGGAUUUAUUGGGCGUAAAGAGCGUGUAGGCGGCUAGAUAGGUCCGUUGUGAAAACUCGAGGCUCAACCUCGAGACGUCGAUGGAAACCAUCUGGCUAGAGUCCGGAAGAGGAGAGUGGAAUUCCUGGUGUAGCGGUGAAAUGCGCAGAUAUCAGGAGGAACACCGGUGGCGAAGGCGGCCCUCUGGACGGUGACUGACGCUGAGACGCGAAAGCGUGGGGAGCAAACAGG